rnacentral:rRNA from 1 species
GUAUGGGGAGCAAAACAGCUAUGGGUCAAGUCCGAUAUCUUUAGGAGAAGUCUUAUUGUGAGGGCGAGUUAUAUAACACCAUAGGACUGGCCGUCCCAUAUGAAAAGAUUAUAUUAGAAUUGAAUGAAGCUUUGUUUAUAUAUUGAUAAUGACAGUAUAUAUAUCGUGUCUUGACUAAUUGCGUGCCAGCAGUCGCGGUAAUACGUAAGAGACUAGUGUUAUUCAUCUUAAUUAGGUUUAAAGGGUACCCAGACGGUCAAUAUAGCUUAUAAAAUGUUAGUACUUGACUAGAGUUUUAUGUAAGAGGGCAGUACUUGAGGAGGAGAGAUGAAAUUUCGUGAUACCAAAGGGACUCUGUAAAGGCGAAGGCAGCCCUCUAUGUAAAAACUGACGUUGAAGGACGAAGGCACAGAGAACAAACAGGAUUAGAUACCCAAGUAGUCUUUGCAGUAAAUGAUGAAUGCCAUAGGUUAGAUUGAUCAAUUAUAGUCUAGGGUUAGUCUAGCAAACUAAUGCCCUAUGAUAUAAUUCAAAAUAUCUGGUCUAUAAAUGAAAGUGUAAGCAUUUCACCUCAAGAGUAAUGUGGCAACGCAGGAAC